rnacentral:RNase_P_RNA from 1 species
GGAGUCGGCCGGAUAGUCGCUGCCGCGCCGUUUGCUGGCGAAAUGGUAGAGGAAAGUCCGGGCUCUAAAGGACAGGAUGCCAGGUAACGCCUGGGAGGCGCGAGCCUACGGAAAGUGCCACAGAAAAUAUACCGCCCGAAAUUUAUUUCGGGUAAGGGUGAAAUGGUGUGGUAAGAGCACACCGCGCCGUUGGCAACAUCGGUGGCAGGGUAAACCCCAUCCAGAGCAAGACCAAAUAGGGGGACAGUUGGCUUUGGCCGCAACGUGUGGUCCGCACGGUUCCCGGGUAGGUCGCUAGAGAUCUGUGGUGACACUGAUCCCAGAUGAAUGACUAUUCAAGACAGAACCCGGCUUACAGGCUGGCUCCCACC